AUUGAACGCUGGCGGCAGGCCUAACACAUGCAAGUCGAACGAGUGGCGGACGGGUGAGUAAUGUCUGGGAAACUGCCUGAUGGAGGGGGAUAACUACUGGAAACGGUAGCUAAUACCGCAUACCAUCGGAUGUGCCCAGAGGGGAUUAGCUAGGAGGUGGGGUAAAGGCUCACCUAGGCGACGAUCCCUAGCUGGUCUGAGAGGAUGACGCGCCACACGGGAACUGAGCCCCGGUCCAGACUCCUACGAGAGGCAGCAGUGGGGAAUCUUGCACAAUGGGCGCAAGCCUGAUGCAUCCAUGCCGCGUGUAUGAAGAAGGCCUUCGGGUUGUAAAGUACUUUCAGUGGGGAGGCGUUACCCGCAGAAGAAGCACCGGCUAACUCCGUGCCAGCAGCCGCGGUAAUUC
rnacentral:rRNA from 1 species